GCCACAGCUUUGUGUUCUGGCACCUUCAGUGUGGGAGCGAUUGCUGGACACCAGAUGUUUUUCACCCGGCCCCGGGAGAAUGAAAUAAGGUGUUUUUGAGGAUUAAGUUGCCAGGAAAACAAGGGGCCCCAGGGUAUCCUGAAAAGUGGCUGUAGUGCAACUAAAGCUACCAGUGAGUCAAAAAAAUGCAAAGCUCUAGUGGCCUGUAUCAACAACUGUACCACAAAUGAUGCCAAAUAAUACUUUUUCAUCCACUCGGCUGUAGUCUUUGAAAACCUCCAGGAAAGAAGAAAGCAUUUGAUUCCUACCCAGCUUUAUUUGAAAGGGCCUUUUCCUUUCUCAGCAGAAGGUCAACUGCCACGAUUUCUCCAUGGUCGCCCUUUUUUCUGCGGCCACAGUACAGGACAGAUGGAAAGGAUCCAGAGUGCUCUGUGAAUAUGAGAUGCACUAUAUUUUCCAGAAAUUCCUGACUUUAUUGCGGAUGGAAUUUUGGUUUUUUCACCAGUUUUGCUGUGUACUGUGUGCUAAAAGCAAUGACCGCCACAGGAUCCUGUUUUGGAAUCUGCAUGGAGCUGAUGGUGACUAGGACCCCGGUGACUACAGGAACGUCCCAGCUAGCGGAUGGGGGUCGGUGGUUUUGUGUUGAGGACAGAUGCAGGCCCCUAGCCCUGUGAAAGCUAAGUGGAGGGACCAGGGCUGGGGAGGGAUUGGGAGGAGGAGGGGACAACUUGGCAAUUGUAGGAGGGGUUUUGAAGUUGUGUGGUAUUAGAAAGAACAUGUGCCUGGUGGCUCUGAGUAUACAUGGCAGCUCAGUGAAGUGUUUCUGGUUUUGCAGGCUGUGUGGGCUGCCUUUUGAAAUGGGUGAGUGUUUGAGGUGAGCUGGGUAAUGGAGAGGAGGCACACUGGGCUGGUGAUUUCUUGCACAUUCAAUGGUAUUUUUGUGUCUCUUGGUUUCUUAGGUACCACAAACAGAUUGGCUCUGGAAUCCAUGCAGAGAUUUCUGCCUGGCUUUCAGGGGCACGUUUCCCUGGCAGUCUGGUAGCAUCUCUCUGGUGCAGUGCUGCCAGCCAGAUGUCCCUCUCCCUUGGGUAGGACAGGAAAAAGCCCCCGGUCAAAUGAUGACUGGGCGUUUUGGAGACGGAGAGCACAAUGGUGUCAGUUCAGAGCUGGGCCAGUUAAAUUAGUGCCAAAGGAAAGUCAAACACUUUUAUAGUGUAUUUUUAUUGACUGUAUCUAAACGUACACAGAGCUUUCCAGGGAAAGGGAAGGGAGGAGGCGCUUCCCCCCCACCGGGCAGAGGGGUUUGUUACACUGUUGGGCUGAGAAGGUGUUCCAAGUGGCAUCAGUCAGUCUUAAUAGGGACUUGAAGCGUCGGGAGGGCUCUGGCUUUGGCAGGCUGUGCCGUCUUUGAAGCUGAGCUGUUUCCCCAGAAUCAUCCUGUAGCUCAGCUUCUGUCCUGUCCCUCAGUCUGAGGGAAUUCCUCUACUCUCUCCUCUGUGCUGUUUUGUUUGAUGCUGAACUACAGUUGGGGAUUGUUGUUUUGCAGGUGCUUCGUUGUCCACGUCUCAUGCUGCUUGAUAGCUGCCCCAGCCUGGGUUUGCAGCCAGUGGUGGGCCUGAGGGGAAGGGACCAGCCCUGGGUCUGGGCAUUUGGUGCUGUCUUUUUGCGGUGAAUAAAAAGGUGGGGGGAGGGUAUUUGGAGAGUGAUGAUGUCAUUUGGGGGCCCCCAGAGUUACCGAAGGGGGCAAUGAUACAGCAGAGGAGCAGGUGAAUUGGGGAUGUGGGGUCACAUGGGGUUCCCCCCUAAAAGAGGUGGGUCAUUGUGGGCUCAGUUAAAGGUCACUCCCAUAGUUAAGAUUUACUUGCAUUUGGAGCAACAGUGUGUGCCAGUAGUGACCUUGAGAGCAGGGGAGGAGUGAGAAAUACAAGUUUUGCAUCCUGAAGCACAUCCUGACAAAAACAGAGCACAGUCUGGGAACCAAAACCUGUCUUGAUAGUAGAAUAAUUGUUAUUGUGAUAAGCUCAGUAGAAGGUAAAAAAAUAUUAUUGUAAGUCCAUGAUUGGGCAUUAUGGGGGGAGUAGGUUUCUGUCUUGGUGUAUAUAAGUCUCUCUGUGUAGCAGUAAAGAUGGUCAAAUUGGAUUUUUUGAUUCGCUUACUGCAUGACCUACGAGUCUGUGAUUUCUUCAUACGCCACAGGUCACAGCCCCAAAAUGUCUGAAAAGUCGGGAGGGGGGGGAUUAAAAAAUAACAAAACCUGAAAAUAUUAGUGUGAAGUGUUGAAAUAGAGAACACUCUCUCAUUUAUAUAUAGAUGGGAAAAUAAUAUUUAUGUAUAUAAAAGGAGUUUGGAAUAAAACCCUGUAUCUCUAAGGAUUCUAUGAUUCUAUGUUAUAAAAAAGAUCUUAUAAAAAUGAUAAAAAAUAUUUGUAAAAAAUAUUAGUGUCAAAAUAGAUGUCUAAACAGAUAAAGUAGAUAUUCUACAUAA